CCAUGGGCACUGCGCUCCAAAGGUAGAGAUGCGGCGUGGAGGGGGCGGCAUUGGGAGAGAGAGACAAGGGGUCCGAGGGCCCCGCCCGGGGCCUGCCCAGCCUGCCCUCUCUGGCAUGCAAGGAUGCUUUAACAUACAAGAGUCACUAAAUGUGAUACACCACAUCAACACAAUAAACGAUAAAAAUCCUUUAUUUUUAUUAUUAAAAAGCACUUGAUAAAAUUCAACAUCCUUUCAUGAUUAAAAAAAACAACAAACUGAGCAAAUUAGGUGCAGAAGGAAUGUACCUCAACAUAAAAGUGUACAAAUUUCAGUUAUGCAAAAAAAAAGAAAACUGGACACUUGAAUAUAAUAAUGCAGUAACUCUGGAGAUGAGACUCUCCUCUUCCUCAGGGUUUGCUGUUUUGGAUUAUAUUUCAUAUAUAAUUAUAUAUAUUAUAUUAUAUAUAAUAUCUGUAUAAUAAUAUAUAUUAUUACAUAUAAUUAUAUUAUAUUACAUUAUAUUAUAUAUAUCAUAAUAUAUUAUAUAAUAUAUAUAAUAUUGUAUUAUUUAAUAAUAUAUAAUAUAUU
rnacentral:lncRNA from 1 species